rnacentral:rRNA from 1 species
AGGACGAACGCUGGCGGCGUGCUUAACACAUGCAAGUCGAGCGGUAAGGCCCUUCGGGGUACACGAGCGGCGAACGGGUGAGUAACACGUGGGUGAUCUACCCUGCACUUCGGGAUAAGCCUGGGAAACUGGGUCUAAUACCGGAUAUGACCUCUCACCGCAUGGUGGGUGGUGGAAAGAUUUAUCGGUGCAGGAUGGGCCCGCGGCCUAUCAGCUUGUUGGUGGGGUAAUGGCCUACCAAGGCGACGACGGGUA